GUUAACACGCUAAACAGCUCAGGUUCGGAUCCCCGUAAAAACGUCGGCAGGGGUAACGCUGUAAUUUUUUAUUGGUCGUCAUGAAAAAAACAUAAGGGGAAACACUGUUGUUUUUUAUUGGUCAUCAUGAAAAAAACCAUAAGGGGUAACACUGUUGUCUUUUAUUGGUCGUCAUGAAAAAAACCAUAAGUGGUAACACUGUUGUUUUUUAUUGGUCGUCAUGAAAAAACAUAAGGGGUAACACUGUUGCUUUUUAUUGGUCGUCAUGAAAAAAAACAUAAGGGGUAACACUGUUGUUUUUUAUUGGUCUUUUUAUUGGUCAUCAUGAAAAAAAACAUAAGGGGUAACACUGUCGUUUUUUAUUGGUCGUCAUGAAAGAAAACAUAAGGGGUAACACUGUCGUUUUUUAUUGGUCGUCAUGAAAAAAAGCAUAAGGGGUAACACUGUUGUUUUAUAUUGGUCGUCAUGAAAAAAAACAUAAGGGAAAUAAUAGAAAUACACACAUACAUUUUAAUGUCAUGUAUAUCCUCUUUAUUGAUGAUUGACUAUUGUGUAUUGUCAUCGCCUCACUGCCUAACCCACUGGAGACCGCGGCUCAAUUUCUGUGGAAAACAGAAUGUCUUUAAUUUUAAACGUAAUGCUAUCAUGUCUAUUGCACUGUCAUAUAUAACCAGAGACAUAUUUUAAUUAUAAAUCUCAGUGGGGAGUGGAGAGAGCUUUGAGCUAACCCCCUGGAGACCGGGUUCAAGUCCGGUUGAUGUCCGAUGUUCGAAGACUCUUAUCUCUAUUUCAUGCGAAUUAUAAAGUCAAGUAUAACCAUUGUGAUGACUUUCUUCUGUGUCUUGUUGGAGCAUUGAUAAGUUCGGAGGUUAACACUCUAAACAGCUCAGGUUCGGAUCCCCGUAAAAACGUCGGCAGGGGUAACGCUGUUGUUUUUUAUUGGUCGUCAUGAAAAAAACAUAAGGGGAAACACUGUUGUUUUUUAUUGGUCGUCAUGAAAAAAACAUAAGGGGGGAAACACUGUUGUUUUUUAUUGGUCGUCAUGAAAAAAACCAUAAGGGGUAACACUGUUGUUUUUUAUUGGUCGUCAUGAAAAAA
ensembl:lncRNA